GCAGGGGUUGCCGAGUCUGGUAAAGGCGCAGGACUUAGGAUCCUGUACUUAGUGUUCCGGGGGUUCGAAUCCCCUCCCCUGCACCA
rnacentral:tRNA from 1 species